rnacentral:ncRNA from 1 species
GUUAUCAAGAGUGGACGAGAGAUUCGGCUUUAUGACUCCACAGCAACCUAUUAAUUUAGGUGCUAAUACCGACAAAGCAAAUUGCUUUGAAUGAUGA